UACUACAAUAAAGGGAGGCGCCAGAUUUGGUGUCAAAGCUUCACCAAAUUUUUGAACUCCCAUAAUUACCCAUGAUUUAAAGAACAGUUCAACUUAAGUGAAAAUUAUCAAUAAGGGAUAGCAAUGUAAAAUACAAAAACAUAAAUAAGAAAAUAAAUACGGAAUCAUUGAGGAAAACAGAAAUUGCCGGCAGUUAGCACGAUCUGCUCGAAGAACGACUGGCGGGGCGCACGAUUGGAGACGGAAGGCGGACGUGGGAGAUGAUUGGAGUGGAUAUGGCUUCCUUAUUAUUCACCCCACUCUCAAUUUACGGUUCAUAUAAAAGGAGAAGGGAAAGAGGAGCAGAGCAAAAUCAAACCCAGAAAGAGGAAAAAAUUAGAAUCAAAUCGGAGACUUUCAGAUUUCGUGUUCCAUUGAUUUGGCAUUGAUUUGGGUGUCCUAUUUCCAUUGAUGUGGGCAGAGCGGAUUCUUAAUCAAACCCAAAAGGCAGAGUAAUAGGUAUCAACUCGAGCGACAGUGUUGCGGAUUCGGUAGAGGUCAGCCUUGAUAAUUGUUUCCAGAUUUUGAAUUUCAUUUAUUUGGGUUUUUGUUUUCGAUUGAAGUUCCAUGUGUUAAUUAUUACAUUGGGUAAUUUCAAAGAGUGGGUGAUUGCCAAAUGCUGCUUCGCUUUCUUUCAAUUUUUGCAGGUAAAUGUAUGGGAGAUUUCGGAACAUUGUGAAAGUUGGUGUCGGCUAAUAUUAGUUGCAGGUACCUGUAAAGUAUUUGAUUGGACUUGAAAGGAAAAGCGCAAGACCAGUCUUCUUGGUUCGUCUUUCUUGGAGCAUGUUAAGGAGAUAUUGGAACCUGAUACUUUUAUUGCUGCAGCGCCUUGGGUGUACUACCCAAUAAUUGAAAAGUAUUCAAUAUAUUUGACAUAAUCUUCUAUUGUAACAGGCUCUUCAGCGCUUCCAAACCGAGCAUGGAAAAGGGUUUCCAACUCAUUUCUCCCAGAUAGGGGCUCCUGACUUCUAUACCAUUCAAAGGCCGACAAGGUUGGAAAAAGCUUCAUUUUUUUAUCACUGCUCUGAACAAGACAGCAAGCUUCAAGGACGCUAUAAACACAGACAUGCCAAAAUACUGCAACCAUCAAGUAAAGAUGCGGUCUCAAGUAAGGCCUUGAUUAGAAUUUGAUCUAAUUCAAACUCGCCGUAUUUGAUUCCUUAUUGAUUGUUAUGGGACAAGUUUCUUCAUCACGCCCUCAGCCAUCGAAUGAUGGCCAGGAACCAUCCCGUGUUCAUGCACCCAAUGCAGAAAGGCAAAGUACAAAUACCUCUCAAGGAGAGAGGAGACAAUCAGUGAUUUCUUCAGAAGCUAUUUUAUCGCAGUCUCACCCACUGGAUGAAGAUCAGAUGCAGAAAGACAACGUAGAACUAAUUAUCAAAGAGAGAAGCGACAGUCAUUGAAUUCUUCACAACGAGCAGAAAGUUUAGCCCGAAGACGUGCUAAUUACCACUUACGGCGACAGUCGCGAAAUACAAGUGUGGAGAACAGAAGUAUGACAAAUCAACUAGAAGCAAUGGCUGGUAACUUACUACAAUGAGUCAUCUAAAAGACAAACAUCUUCAACCUUUUGUAUAACUAUUUGGAACAGAUUCCUUUCUUAUUUUGGUGGCCCACAUGUAAAUGUUCUUAUAUAUAUACCUGUGCUAAAAUGGUCGAUAAAAGCACCGAGUGUAAUGUUUUAUUUUUUAUUUUUAAGAAAUAAUUUUGUUAUGUUGACAACACGUUGCCAAGUGUGUUAGAAGAGAGUGGUGGUUUAAUCAAGACUCCAAACCAAGACCCUUGGAGUUCUAGAAUGGUAUUUUUUUUUUUUUUUUUUGCUACAAACUAUGACAUGAUGUUGAUUGUAGCUUUAUGUCAUGUUGUACAUAUCGACAUCUUUCCUUUAACCUGUAGCUUCAUAGCAGGGAUUUGGGAUUUUAGGAGCUGAUGAAAUGCUUAGUUUGUACCUGUAUUAAUGCAAGAUGAAUAUUGGUUGCUGGUGUUAUUUCAAAAAAGAAUUACAUGUGAAUUUCAAAGGCUUAUGAGGUUAUUGAAA